UACGUAGGGUGCGAGCGUUGUCCGGAAUUACUGGGCGUAAAGAGCUCGUAGGUGGUUUGUCGCGUUGUUCGUGAAAACUCACAGCUCAACUGUGGGCGUGCGGGCGAUACGGGCAGACUAGAGUACUGCAGGGGAGACUGGAAUUCCUGGUGUAGCGGUGGAAUGCGCAGAUAUCAGGAGGAACACCAACAGCGAAGGCAGCACUCUGGGCCGGUACUGACGCUGAGGAGCGAAAGCAUGGGGAGCGAACAGG
rnacentral:rRNA from 1 species